rnacentral:misc_RNA from 1 species
GAUGAAGAACGCAGUGAAAUGCGAUAAGUAAUGUGAAUUGCAGAAUUCAGUGAAUCAUCGAAUCUUUGAACGCACCUUGCGCUCCUUGGUAUUCCGAGGAGCAUGCCUGUUUGCGUGUCAUUAAUAUAUCAACCUUCUCUUUUUUGAGUUGUUUGGAUGUGGGGGUUUGCUGGCCUCUUAAAUGAUUCAGCUCCCCUGAAAUGCAUUAGCAGAACAACCUGUUCAUUGGCGUGAUAAUUAUCUAUGCUAUUGAAUGUGAGGGCAGUUCAGCUUUCUAACCGUCCUUGGACAAUUCAUCAUUAAUGUGACCUCAAAUCAGGUAGGACUACCCGCUGAACUUAAGCAUAUCAAUAAGCGGAGGA